rnacentral:tRNA from 1 species
CAUUAGGUGACUGAAAGUAAGUACUGGUCUCUUAAACCAUUUCAUAGUAAAUUAACAUCUACUUCUAAUGA